AUCCAGCUGACGAGUCCCGAAUAGGACGACACGCGACGUCCUGGAU
rnacentral:hammerhead_ribozyme from 1 species